AAUGAACGCUGGCGGCAUGCCUUACACAUGCAAGUCGAACGGCAGCAUGACCUAGCUUGCUAGGUUGAUGGCGAGUGGCGAACGGGUGAGUAAUGCAUCGGAACGUGCCUUUUAGUGGGGGAUAACGUAGCGAAAGUUACGCUAAUACCGCAUAUUCUCUGAGGAGGAAAGCAGGGGACCUUCGGGCCUUGCGCUAGAAGAGCGGCCGAUGUCGGAUUAGCUAGUUGGUGAGGUAAAGGCUCACCAAGGCAACGAUCCGUAGCGGGUCUGAGAGGAUGAUCCGCCACACUGGGACUGAGACACGGCCCAGACUCCUACGGGAGGCAGCAGUGGGGAAUUUUGGACAAUGGGCGCAAGCCUGAUCCAGCCGUGCCGCGUGAGUGAAGAAGGCCUUCGGGUUGUAAAGCUCUUUCGGCUGGGAAGAAAUCGCACCCUCUAAUACAGGGUGUGGAUGACGGUACCAGCAUAAGAAGCACCGGCUAACUACGUG
rnacentral:rRNA from 1 species